rnacentral:rRNA from 1 species
GGAAAUGUCUGUCCAAGCAGUAAGUCUGAAGAGGAGUCAAAUGCUUCUUUUCUUAAGGACAAGCUGUGAUGGGGAGGGAAAUAAUAGUACCGAAGUUCCUGAUGUCACACUGCCGAGAAAAGCUUCUAGUGAGAAAACAGCGGCCCGUACCGCAAACCGACACAGGUAGUCGAGGAGAGAAUCCUAAGGUGAGCGAGAGAACUCUCGUUAAGGAACUCGGCAAAAUGACCCCGUAACUUCGGGAGAAGGGGUGCUGAUCAUACGAUCAGCCGCAGUGAAUAGGCCCAAGCGACUGUUUAUCAAAAACACAGGUCUCUGCAAAAUCGUAAGAUGAAGUAUAGGGGCUGACGCCUGCCCGGUGCUGGAAGGUUAAGAGGAGUGCUUAGCGCAAGCGAAGGUACGAAUUGAAGCCCCAGUAAACGGCGGCCGUAACUAUAACGGUCCUAAGGUAGCGAAAUUCCUUGUCGGGUAAGUUCCGACCCGCACGAAAGGCGUAACGAUUUGGGCACUGUCUCAACGAGAGACUCGGUGAAAUUUUAGUACCUGUGAAGAUGCAGGUUACCCGCGACAGGACGGAAAGACCCCAUGGAGCUUUACUGUAGUUUGAUAUUGAGUGUCUGUACCGCAUGUACAGGAUAGGUAGGAGCCGUAGAAAUCGGAACGCUAGUUUCGAUGGAGGCGCUGGUGGGAUACUACCCCUGCG